CAGCAUUUGUAGCAAUACAAGAUGGCGACCGGCGCACGGGUGAGUAACGCGUAUGCAACCUACCCAUAACAGGGGGAUAGCUCCCGGAAACGGAAAUUAAUACCCUAUAGGACUCAUAUAUCGCAUGGUAUUAGAGUUAAAACUCAGGUGGUUAUGGAUGGGCAUGCGUGCCAUUAGCUAGUUGGCGGGGUAACAGCCCACCAAGGCGACGAUGGUUAGGGGGUCUAAAAGGAUGAUCCCCCACACUGGUACUGAGACACGGACCAGACUCCUACGGGAGGCAGCAGUGAGGAGUAUUGGUCAAUGGGCGAGAGCCUGAACCAGCCAUGCCGCGUGCAGGAAGACGGCCCUACGGGUUGUAAACUGCUUUUUUAUGGGAAGAAAAGGCUCUACGUGUAGGGCACUGACGGUACCAUAUGAAUAAGCAUCGGCUAACUCCGUGCCAGCAGCCGCGGUAAUACGGAGGAUGCGAGCGUUAUCCGGAUUUAUUAGGUUUAAAGGGUGUGUAGGCGGAAGAUUAAGUCAGUGGUGAAAUCUCACAGCUCAACUGUGAAACUGCCAUAGAUACUGGUUUUCUUGAGUACAGUUGAAGUAGGCGGAAUGUGUAAUGUAGCGGUGAA
rnacentral:rRNA from 1 species